GACGAACGCUGGCGGCGUGCUUAACACAUGCAAGUCGAACGCUGAAGCUUGGUGCUUGCACUGGGUGGAUGAGUGGCGAACGGGUGAGUAAUACGUGAGUAACCUGCCCUUGACUCUGGGAUAAGCCUGGGAAACUGGGUCUAAUACUGGAUAUGACAUGCCACUGCAUGGUGGUGUGUGGAAAGGGGUUUACUGGUUUUGGAUGGGCUCACGGCCUAUCAGCUUGUUGGUGGGGUAGUGGCCUACCAAGGCGACGACGGGUAGCCGGCCUGAGAGGGUGACCGGCCACACUGGGACUGAGACACGGCCCAGACUCCUACGGGAGGCAGCAGUGGGGAAUAUUGCACAAUGGGCGGAAGCCUGAUGCAGCGACGCCGCGUGAGGGAUGACGGCCUUCGGGUUGUAAACCUCUUUCAGCACGGAAGAAGCGAGAGUGACGGUACGUGCAGAAGAAGCGCCGGCUAACUACGUG
rnacentral:rRNA from 1 species